CAGAGUCACUUCGAAUGAUAUAGACAUAUAUGGAAACAAAGUCCGAGUGACUUAUACUAUGCACCGUUAAGGGAUGUGAAUAAAGAGCUCUGGACACAUCUCCUCCUGCCACUUGAUGAGUGAGUGCUCCUUGGAACCUAUUUCAUGGAUUCCAAAGUAUGUAGCUAGAAGAACAUAAAGAAUCAGAUGGAUUAAAAAGAAACUACUUUCCCCCAGAAGAGGAGCCAUCUGUGGGACAUACAUCACACCAGAGCCCUGGGUCUCUCUUGCGGCAGCGAAGGAGUUCCUGUGAAAAACAGACCUGGAACAAGAGAAUCCCUGACAAGAAAGAAAA